AGUGAACGCUGGCGGCGUGCCUAAUACAUGCAAGUCGAACGCGAAAGUCCUUCGGGAUGAGUAAAGUGGCGCACGGGUGAGUAAUACAUGGGAACAUGCCCUUGGAUGGGGAAUAACGUUUGGAAACGAACGCUAAUACCGCAUAAUCUCGCGAGAGUAAAGGUGGCGCCGCAAGGGCUACCGUCCAAGGAUUGGCCCAUGUCCCAUUAGCUAGUUGGCGGGGUAAUGGCCCACCAAGGCAACGAUGGGUAACUGGUCUGAGAGGAUGAUCAGUCACACUGGAACUGAGACACGGUCCAGACUCCUACGGGAGGCAGCAGUAGGGAAUAUUGCACAAUGGGGGAAACCCUGAUGCAGCAACGCCGCGUGAGUGAAGAAGGCCCUUGGGUUGUAAAGCUCUUUAGCGUGGGAAGAAGGUAGAUAUGGUGAAUAAUCAUGUUUGCUGACGGUACCACGAGAAUAAGCACCGGCUAAUUUCGUGCCAGCCGCCGCCGUAACAC
rnacentral:rRNA from 1 species